rnacentral:tRNA from 1 species
GGAGGUAGCGCAGUGGUCGACGCGCCGGACUACGGAUCCGGUGGACGCUGGUUCGAAUCCAGCCCUCCU